GAUGAAGACGUAGCGAAAUGCGAUAAGUAAUGUGAAUUGCAGAAUUCAGUGAAUCAUCGAAUCUUUGAACGCACAUUGCGCCCCUUGGUAUUCCGGGGGGCAUGCCUGUUCGAGCGUCAUUAUAACCCCUCAAGCUCAGCUUGGUGUUGGGGCCUGCCGACUGGCAGCCCUUAAAAUCAGUGGCGGCGCCAUCUGGCUCUAAGCGUAGUAAUUUCUCUCGCUAUAGAGUCCCGGUGGAUGCUUGCCAGCAACCCCCAACUUUCUAUGGUUGACCUCGGAUCAGGUAGGGAUACCCGCUGAACUUAAGCAUAUCAAUAAGCGGAGGA
rnacentral:misc_RNA from 1 species